rnacentral:lncRNA from 1 species
GUCCUCCCAGAUCUACCGUGUGAGUGCACACAUCCUUCCAGUCAACCAGAAGAUUCUGUGCAUUUCUUCUGGAGAGAUCUGAUGCACGGUGAUAACUCGGCGAUACCUACACAAACUGUAGGCCAUUUUCCAGUGAUUGAAGCCACUGUUCUGGAAAGGAUGUAUGCCCAGCUUUCGAAGACACAGUCCCACAUAUACGUCUUCAAGGUGAAGCAGCCUUGUGUGGAGUGAGGUCUUGUAAAUGAGUUCAGCCACAUCGGCUGAAAAGAUGUAGCCAGUCCCCGAACAGAAAGAGGAAGUUAGUGGGGCAGAAUUUUCAAUUUAAGAAGCACGUAUUUCUCCUAGAAACUGCAUGGUAGAUUGUCUGUUAUUCUGAAUAAUUUAUUUCAAGAAACCCACAGAAUUGCUGCAAUUCUUUUGUACAGCCAGAGGUGCCAGAAAACCCACAGUUGAAGAAAGAUCGCUUCCAUAUCUCUGUGCCCAAAUUCAUGCAAUAA